AGCCCCGUGGGGUAGUGGUCAAUCCUGCGGGCCUUUGGAGCCCGCGACGCCGGUUCGAAUCCGGCCGGGGCUACCA
rnacentral:tRNA from 1 species